rnacentral:rRNA from 1 species
AGAGUUUGAUCCGGGUUCAGAUUGAAGGCAGGCGGAAUACUUUCCACUUGCAAGUCGAGAGGCAGGGAGCGGCAACCUGGGGGGGAGGGGGGAGAGGGUGAGUAAUGCAUUGGGACAUGUCCAAGUUGUGGGGGAUAACCCGGGGAAAGCCGGAUUAACACCGCAUAAGCCCGAGAGGGGAAAGCAGGGGACCGCAAGGCCUCACGCAGAUGGGUUGGCCGAUGUCGGAUUAGCUAGUUGGUGGGGUAAAGGCCCACCAAGGCGAUGAUCGGUAGCUGGUCUGGGAGGAUGAUCAGCCACACUGGGACUGAGACACGGCCCAGACUCCUACGGGAGGCAGCAGUGGGGAAUUUUGGACAAUGGGGGCAACCCUGAUCCAGCCAUUGCCGCGUGAGUGAAGAAGGCCUUCGGGUUGUAAAGCAUUUUGUCCGGAAAAAA